rnacentral:snRNA from 1 species
AUGCUCACUUCAGCAGCACAUAUACUAAAAUUGCAGUGAUACAGAGAAGAUUAGCAUGGCCUCUGUGCAAGGAUGACAUGCAAAUUCGUGAAGCGUUCCAUAUUAAA